CCUACGGGAGGCUGCAGUGGGGAAUAUUGCACAAUGGGCGCAAGCCUGAUGCAGCCAUGCCGCGUGUGUGAAGAAGGCCUUCGGGUUGUAAAGCACUUUCAGCGGGGAGGAAGGCGGUGAGGUUAAUAACCUCAUCGAUUGACGUUACCCGCAGAAGAAGCACCGGCUAACUCCGUGCCAGCAGCCGCGGUAAUACGGAGGGUGCAAGCGUUAAUCGGAAUUACUGGGCGUAAAGCGUACGCAGGCGGUCUGUCAAGUCGGAUGUGAAAUCCCCGGGCUCAACCUGGGAACUGCAUUCGAAACUGGCAGGCUAGAGUCUUGUAGAGGGGGGGAGAAUUCCAGGUGUAGCGGUGAAAUGCGUAGAGAUCUGGAGGAAUACCGGUGACGAAGGCGGCCCCCUGGACAAAGACUGACGCUCAGGUGCGAAAGCGUGGGGAGCAAACAGGAUUAGAUACCCCUGUAGUC
rnacentral:rRNA from 1 species